rnacentral:rRNA from 1 species
GAUGAACGCUGGCGGCGUGCCUAAUACAUGCAGGUCGAGCGAACAGACGAGGAGCUUGCUCCUCUGACGUUAGCGGCGGACGGGUGAGUAACACGUGGAUAACCUACCUAUAAGACUGGGAUAACUUCGGGAAACCGGAGCUAAUACCGGAUAAUAUAUUGAACCGCAUGGUUCAAUAGUGAAAGACGGUUUUGCUGUCACUUAUAGAUGGAUCCGCGCCGCAUUAGCUAGUUGGUAAGGUAACGGCUUACCAAGGCAACGAUGCGUAGCCGACCUGAGAGGGUGAUCGGCCACACUGGAACUGAGACACGGUCCAGACUCCUACGGGAGGCAGCAGUAGGGAAUCUUCCGCAAUGGGCGAUAGCCUGACGGAGCAACGCCGCGUGAGUGAUGAAGGUCUUCGGAUCGUAAAACUCUGUUAUUAGGGAAGAACAAAUGUGUAAGUAACUAUGCACGUCUUGACGGUACCUAAUCAGAAAGCCACGGCUAACUACGUG